CUGUUUUAACAAAACAUGUCUUAAUGUAUUGUUUAUAUUAAGUCAGGCCUGCUCAAUGAUUAAUUUUUAAUUAAAUAGCCGCAGUAUAUUGACUGUGCGAAGGUAGCAUAAUCAUUUGUCUUUUAAUUGGAGGCUUGAAUGAAUGGUUUAAUGAGAAAGUUGCUUUCUUUAUAAUAAUAGUUAAAUUUAAUUUUUAAGUUAAAAAGCUUAAAUAUAUAAAUGGGACGAGAAGACCCUAUAGAAUUUUAUUACUUAAUAAUAAUUUAUUUAUUUGUAAAUAAUUUUCAUUUUAUAUAUUAAGUAAUUUUGUUGGGGUGACAGUGAGAUUUUUUAAACUCUCAUAAAUUACUUUUUAUUUAUUUAUAUUUUAAAGAUCCUAUUUUAUGGAUACUUAGAUUAAAUUACCUUAGGGAUAACAGCGUAAUUCUUUUAGAGAGUUCUUAUCAAUAAAGGAGAUUGCGACCUCGAUGUUGGAUUAAAAUUAGAUUUAAGUGCAGAAGCUUAAUUUCUAGGUCUGUUCGACCUUUAAAUUUUUACAUGAUUAAUUUUCAACCCGG
rnacentral:rRNA from 1 species